rnacentral:rRNA from 1 species
UGCCCAAUGGAAAUAUCUAAAUGGCCGCGGUACCUUGACCGUGCAAAGGUAGCAUAAUCAUUUGUCUUUUAAAUGAAGACUCGUAUGAAUGGCACAACAUUUUCUUUCUGUCUCCUUUUUCUCCCAUCUAAACUUCUAAUAUCGUGAAGAAGCGUUAAUAAAAAAGAAAGACGAGAAGACCCUGUCGAGCUUAAACUCAAAAAAGAUAAGAAAUAUAUUUAUUCCUAUUCUUAAAAAAGUUUUGGUUGGGAUAACCAUGGAGAAUAAUAAUCCUCCAGAAAACAAAAAGAUUAUAAAUCAUUUUAUAAAUUACAACGAACCAAUAUCAACAUUGAAACCAGAAAAAGUUACCGCAGGGAUAACAGCGUUAUCUUCUUUAAGAGUUCUUAUUGACAAGAAGGAUUGCGACCUCGAUGUUGGAUUGGGUUAACCAGAGGGUGCAGAAGCUCUCAAAGGUUGGACUGUUCGUCCAUUAAUUACCCACGUGAUCU